rnacentral:rRNA from 1 species
UACGUAGGGGGCUAGCGUUGUCCGGAAUCAUUGGGCGUAAAGGAGCGCGUAGGCGGCCAGAUAAGUCGGUGUGAAAGUCAAAGGCUCAACCUUUGAAUGCCGCUGGAAACUGUCUGGCUAGAGUCCGGGAGGGGCGAGUGGAAUUCCUGGUGUAGCGGUGGAAUGACGCAGAUAUCAGGAGGAACACCAAUAGCGAAGGCAGCUCGCUGGGACGGUACUGACGCUGAGGCGCGAAGCGUGGGGAGCGAACAGG